AUUGAACGCUGGCGGCAGGCCUAACACAUGCAAGUCGAGCGCGAAAACACUUCGGUGUGAGUAGAGCGGCGGACGGGUGAGUAAUGCUUGGGAAUCUGCCCAGUAGUGGGGGAUAACGUGUGGAAACGCACGCUAAUACCGCAUACUUCCUACGGGAGAAAGCAGGGGAUCUUCGGACCUUGCGCUAUUGGAUGAGCCCAAGUCGGAUUAGCUAGUUGGUGGGGUAAUGGCCUACCAAGGCGACGAUCCGUAGCUGGUCUGAGAGGAUGAUCAGCCACACUGGGACUGAGACACGGCCCAGACUCCUACGGGAGGCAGCAGUGGGGAAUAUUGCACAAUGGGCGAAAGCCUGAUGCAGCCAUGCCGCGUGUGUGAAGAAGGCUCUAGGGUUGUAAAGCACUUUCAGUAGGGAGGAAAAGCUUAAGGUUAAUAACCUUGAGCCCUGACGUUACCUACAGAAGAAGCACCGGCAAACUCCGUGCCAGCAGCCGCGGUAAUACGGAGGGUGCGAGCGUUAAUCGGAAUUACUGGGCGUAAAGCGCGCGUAGGUGGUUUGAUAAGCUAGCUGUGAAAGCCCCGGGCUCAACCUGGGAACUGCAGUUAGAACUGUCUGACUAGAGUACAGUAGAGGGUGGCGGAAUUUCCUGUGUAGCGGUGAAAUGCGUAGAUAUAGGAAGGAACAUCAGUGGCGAAGGCGGCCACCUGGACUGAUACUGACACUGA
rnacentral:rRNA from 1 species